GUUCAAGAGUACGUGAAACCGUUCAGGGGUAAACGGGAGACAUCCAGAAUUCGAAAGGGGACGGGAUUCACGUCACUCUGGAGCAGAUCGAGUCGGCCCGGCCUUGAUGGUGCCGGUCCGCCGCAGCUUUGGUUUCGCUUGCGGUGUCGACUGAAUCCACAAGGUUUGCGGCUGAUCACAUGCCGGAGGACUGCACUUCACCCCUAGUAGAAACGUCGCGACCCGUUGGGUGCCGGUCAAAGGCCUGGGAAGGCAGACCGCGCGUUCCGUGGUGGGUACCACGGGCGUGCGGACUCCCGGUGACCCGGCCGGCUGCCCGACGGUAUGAUCAGAGGAGCCGAUCCGCUAAUUGGAAAACACUGUGGUUGUGAAGCGUGCGGCCCGGCGUUACGUUGCGUGUGGGGUCCCAUGCUAAAAACCGGGAAGUUACCGUGAGUCCACGGUCCCGUACCCUGCUGCGUUUUCGGCGCCGGUGUCCUCGCACUGGAUUGAUACUCCCGUCUGCGGCGCACACUAUCGGAUUC
rnacentral:rRNA from 1 species